rnacentral:lncRNA from 1 species
CAGCUCUACUACAACCUCACCCAGCUUCCCAAGAAUCAGCCCAAAGCCAGGGUCCAGAGAGGAUGGCAGCACCUCCAUGGCACUGCUCUACCACAGGACUCUGUCCAGUCACUGUGUAUCCAGCAGCUGCACCAAACCCUAGAGAAAACCUCAAUAUUCUGCCUGGAACCCAACUAGUAACUGGCAGCCUGAAAUCAUAGUUAAAUGGUAAUCAGACCACAAGAAACUACAUUCAGACAGAAGGCCCAGAAAUCCUGGACUAUGAACUGGACAUAUUUAUUUGGUAGGACUUGGGAUGGACUCCUCUGGGAAAAUAUAUGUAUGUGUAAGGGGUGGUUGGUGGAAACUAUGAUAGAGGCACUUAAUUUUUUUACAAUAAUUUCACUUUCUUUCACCAUUAAAAGGAUUUGUACAUUUCAGCUGGGACGUCUUCCCUCAGCUAAAGAUUACAUUUUCUUUUUUGUUGUUGAUGUACAUAUUUAAGGUUUACAAAUUGAUGAUUUGAUAUUCAUAUACAUUCUGAAAUAAUCACCACAGUCAAGCUAGUUAGCAAAUCUGCC